rnacentral:rRNA from 1 species
UGAUGACGAGACGCUAAGGCGUUGAAGCAGUGUAUGUCAGACUUCCAAGAAAAGCUCGCAAUGUCACAAAUAAACAAUGCCUGUACCAUAACCGACACAGGUGGGUAGGUAGAGUAUACUAAGGGGCGCGAGAUAACUCUCUCUAAGGAACUCGGCAAAAUGACUCCGUAACUUCGGGAGAAGGAGUGCCUUAUUUAUAAGGUUGCAAUAACAAGAUCCAAGCAACUGUUUAUCAAAAACACAGGUCUCCGCUAAGUCGUAAGACGAUGUAUGGGGGCUGACGCCUGCUCAGUGCCAGAAGGUUAAAGAAGUUGGUUAGUGUAUGCGAAGCUGAUGACUGAAGCCCUGGUGAACGGCGGCCGUAACAAUAACGGUCCUAAGGUAGCGAAAUUCCUUGUCGGGUAAGUUCCGACCCGCACGAAAGGCGUAAUGAUUUGGAUACUGUCUCGGAGAGAGGCUCGGUGAAAUAGACUUGUCUGUGAAGAUGCGGACUACCUGCACCAGGACAGAAAGACCCUAUGAAGCUUUACUGUAACUUGAAAUUGGAAUUGGACUUUGCUUGCGCAGUAUAGGUGGGAAGCGUUGAAAAUAUUCUUGCGGGAGUAUUGGAGCUAUCAGUGAGAUACCACUCUUGUAAUGUUAGAUUUCUAACUUUGAACCAUAAUCUGGUCAAAGAACAGUUUCAGGUGGGCAGUUUGACUGGGGCGGUCGCCUCCCAAAUGGUAACGGAGGCGUACAAAGGUUUCCUCUGAACGGAUAGAAAUCGUAUCUAGAGUGUAAAGGCAUAAGGAAGCUUGACUGUGAGACCUACAAGUCGAGCAGGGACGAAAGUCGGUCUUAGUGAUCUGACGGUACUGAGUGGAAAGGCCGUCACUCAACGGAUAAAAGUUACUCUAGGAUAACAGGCUGAUCUCCCCCAAGAGUUCACAUCGACGGGGAGGUUUGGCACCUCGAUGUCGGCUCAUCGCAUCCUGGGGCGGUAGUACGUCCCAAGGGUUGGGCUGUUCGCCCAUGAAAGCGGUACGCGAGCUGGGUUCAGAACGUCGUGAGACAGUUCGGUCCAUAUCCGGUGUAGGCGCUAGAAUAUUGAGAGGAGCCUUCUUUAGUACGAGAGGACCGAGAAGGACACACCGCUGGUGUACCAGUUAUCGUGCCAACGGUAAACGCUGGGUAGCUAUGUGUGGAGUGGAUAACCGCUGAAAGCAUCUAAGUGGGAAGCCCACCUCGAGAUGAGUAUUCUCAC